UAUAGUUAAAUUGGGGGUUUUAUUAGGUUGUAGACCUCAGCGACCGGCGCGAUGUCUUCGGUGCCGGCGGUGGCGUCCGCCGGUCCCACCCUCACACGCCGGGACAAGG